GUGUCUGUAGCUCAGUUGGCAGAGCAACGGAUUUUUAAUCCGUGGGCCGCGAGUUCGAACCUCGCCGGACGAA
rnacentral:tRNA from 1 species